CUUAGCAUCCUGAGUACCUAGAACUACAGGUUACUGAUUUUUUAUUUCCCUUGAAAACUAUUAAUAACCUUAUGGGAGAGUUCAUUUGAUUCUAUUGAAAGAAAAUUCACCAAGUUUUAGAAGUGAUUAUAAUUCCCCUUGCAAACAAAACCCCUAUUAUCUGGAAUGUUUUAAUUGCCAGUUACAUCCCUUUAGAUGUUAACUUCGGAUAAGAACAAAGUUCACUAUCAAGAAUUCUGGGCCAGGCAUGGUGGCUCAUGCCUGUAAUCCCAGCACUGUGGGAGGCCAAGGCAGGUGCAUCGCUUGAGCUCAGGACUUGGGGAACUGACUACCCAGUGAAUCUAAAAUCCUAGUAAAUCUAAAAUUGUAGUGAAUCUAGGAGUUGAGCUGGCUGACUAACCAGUGAAUCUAAAAAUAUGCUCACAAGCUGACAAAACCUGCCCACUCAAACAGAGCUUCCAAUCAGCUGUGCAGUGAGUCAGUUAAAAAUCUGACCAAGGGCGGGCAUGGUGGCUCACACCUGUAACCCUAGUACUUUGGGAGGCCGAGGCAGGUGGAUCACCUGAGGUCAGGAGUUCGAGACCAGCCUGGUCAAAAUGGUGAAACCCGGUCUCUACUAAAAACACAAAAAUUAGCCGGGCAUGGUGGCACGC
rnacentral:lncRNA from 1 species